GUUAAAAAGCUCGUAGUUGGAUUUCUGUCGAGGGCGGGCGGUCCGCACUAUGUGCGUGUAUCUUGUUCGGUCUUGGCAUCCUCUUGGGGAAUGCUUCUGUGCUUGAUUGCAUGGGGUGGAAUUCAAGACUUUUACUUUGAGGAAAUUAGAGUGUUCACGGCAAGCUACCGCUUUGAAUACAUUAGCAUGGAAUAAUAAUAUAGGGCGUAAGUUCUAUUUUGUUGGUUUCUAGGACAUACGCAAUGAUUAAUAGGGACAAUUGGGGGCAUUCGUAUUAACGCGUCAGAGGUGGAAUUCUUAGAUUGCGUUACGACGAACUACUGCGAAAGCAUUUGCCAAAGAUGUUCUCAUUGAUCAAGAACGAAAGUAUGGGGAUCGAAGACGAUUAGAUACCGUCGUAGUCUAUACCAUAAACUAUGCCAAUUAGAGAUUGGGCGUCGUUCGUUUUAUGACUCGCUCAGCACCUUAUGAGAAAUCAAAAUUUUUGGGUUCCGGGGGGAGUAUGGUCGCAAGUCUGAAACUUAAAGGAAAUGACGGAAGGGCACCACCAGGAGUGGAGCCUGCGGCUUAAUUUGACUCAACACGGGAAAACUUACCAGGUCCAGACAUAGUAAGGAUUGACAGAUUGAUAGCUCU
rnacentral:rRNA from 1 species